AGCGUAGACGGCAUGGCAAGUCUGAAGUGAAAGCCCGGGGCUCAACCCCGGGACUGCUUUGGAAACUGCUAAGCUUGAGUACAGGAGGGGCGAGUGGAAUUCCUAGUGUAGCGGUGAAAUGCGUAGAUAUUAGGAGGAACACCGGUGGCGAAGGCGGCCCGCUGGACUGUAACUGACGUUGAGGCUCGAAAGCGUGGGGAGCAAACA
rnacentral:rRNA from 1 species